rnacentral:rRNA from 1 species
UACGUAGGGGGCAAGCGUUAUCCGGAAUUAUUGGGUGUAAGGGGUGCGUAGACGGGUGUUUAAGUUGGUUGUGAAAUCCCUCGGCUCAACUGAGGAACUGCAACCAAAACUGGGCAUCUUGAGUGUCGGAGAGGAAAGUGGAAUUCCUAGUGUAGCGGUGAAAUGCGUAGAUAUUGGGAGGAACACCAGUGGCGAAGGCGACUUUCUGGACGAUAACUGACGUUGAGGCACGAAAGUGUGGGGAGCAAAC